CACCUCAGUGUCAGUAUCAGUCCAGGUGGUCGCCUUCGCCACUGGUGUUCCUUCCUAUAUCUACGCAUUUCACCGCUACACAGGAAAUUCCACCACCCUCUACCAUACUCUAGUCAGUCAGUUUUGAAUGCAGUUCCCAGGUUGAGCCCGGGGAUUUCACAUCCAACUUAACUAACCACCUACGCGCGCUUUACGCCCAGUAAUUCCGAUUAACGCUUGCACCCUCUGUAUUACCGCGGCUGCUGGCACAGAGUUAGCCGGUGCUUAUUCUGUCGGUAACGUCAAAAUUGCAGAGUAUUAAUCUACAACCCUUCCUCCCAACUUAAAGUGCUUUACAAUCCGAAGACCUUCUUCACACACGCGGCAUGGCUGGAUCAGGCUUUCGCCCAUUGUCCAAUAUUCCCCACUGCUGCCUCCCGUAGGAGUCUGGACCGUGUCUCAGUUCCAGUGUGACUGAUCAUCCUCUCAGACCAGUUACGGAUCGUCGCCUUGGUGAGCCAUUACCCCACCAACUAGCUAAUCCGACCUAGGCUCAUCUGAUAGCGCAAGGCCCGAAGGUCCCCUGCUUUCUCCCGUAGGACGUAUGCGGUAUUAGCGUCCGUUUCCGAACGUUAUCCCCCACUACCAGGCAGAUUCCUAGGCAUUACUCACCCGUCCGCCGCUCUCAAGAGAAGCAAGCUUCUCUCUACCGCUCGACUUGCAUGUGUUAGGCCUGCCGCCAGCGUUCAAU
rnacentral:rRNA from 1 species